rnacentral:rRNA from 1 species
AGAUUGAACGCUGGCGGCAUGCCUUACACAUGCAAGUCGAACGGCAGCACGGGAGCAAUCCUGGUGGCGAGUGGCGAACGGGUGAGUAAUAUAUCGGAACGUGCCCAGUCGUGGGGGAUAACGUAGAGAAAUUUACGCUAAUACCGCAUACGAUCCAAGGAUGAAAGCGGGGGACCGUAAGGCCUCGCGCGACUGGAGCGGCUGAUAUCAGAUUAGCUUGUUGGUGAGGUAAAAGCUCACCAAGGCGACGAUCUGUAGCUGGUUUGAGAGAACGACCAGCCACACUGGGACUGAGACACGGCCCAGACUCCUACGGGAGGCAGCAGUGGGAAUUUUGGACAAGUGGGCGAAAGCCGUGAUCCAGCAAUGCCGCGUGCGAAGGAGAAGGCCGUUGGUUCGUAAACGUCGUCGUUUUGUACGGAGACGAAAGGU